AAACGCUUGAAGUCAGUCGCGUCUGCCGGGAUUCAGCCCUUGCGGUGUACUUCCCGGUGGACGGGCCAGCAUCACUUUUGGGCAUCGGAAAAGGAUGAGGGGAAUGUGGCACCUCCGGGUGUGUUAUAGCCCCUUGUCGUAUACGGUGUUCGGGAGUGAGGACCGCCUUUGCAGGAUGCUGGCGUAAUGGCUUUAAACGA
rnacentral:rRNA from 1 species